rnacentral:rRNA from 1 species
AUUGAACGCUGGCGGCAGGCCUAACACAUGCAAGUCGAGCGAGCGGCGGACGGGUGAGUAAUGUCUGGGAAACCGCCUGAUGGAGGGGGAUAACUAACGGAAACGGUAGCUAAUACCGCAUACCAUCCGAUGUUCCCAGAUGGGAUUAGCUAGUGGGUGGGGUAACGGCUCAACUAGGCGACGAUCCCUAGCUGGGCUGAGAGGAUGACCAGCCACACUGGAACUGAGACACGGUCCAGACUCCUACGGGAGGCAGCAGUGGGGAAUAUUGCGCAAUGGGCGCAAGCCUGAUGCAGCCAUGCCGCGUGUGUGAAGAAGGCCUUCGGGUGGUAAAGCACUUUCAGCGGGGAGGCGUUACCCGCAGAAGAAGCACCGGCUAACUCCGUGCCAGCCGCCGCGGUAAUUC